rnacentral:rRNA from 1 species
AUGCUCGUUCAUGGCAAUCAAACCGGCUUCAUUUCUGGUAGAAACAUCGCUGAAAACUUUGUCUUCGCAGCCGAUCUCAUUAGCUCUUGCCACUCUCGCAAAAAACCUACCAUGGUAUUCAAGUUGGACUUCCGAAAAGCUUUCGACUCUGUCGCAUGGCCUGCGCUACAAAAAAUUCUGGCUGUGCGGGGUUUCUCCUCCACCUUCUGCCGGUGGAUCCAAAACAUCCUCCUCACCGGCAAAACGGCCAUUCUCCUGAACGGGGUUCCGGGCAAAUGGAUCCAAUGCAAAAAUGGUUUGAGGCAGGGCGACCCAGUCUCUCCCUAUCUCUUUCUUAUCGUCGCUGAUCUCCUUCAACAGCUCAUCCUCCAAAACUCAGACUCUACACUCCACCAUCCCAUCUUCUCCCACCUGCCUCCCACUGUCCUCCAAUACGCCGAUGACACGCUCAUCGUUGCAGCUGCCUCCUCUACAGCCGCCUCAACCCUCAAAAACAUCCUAAACACCUUUGCACUUGCCACCGGUCUCACCAUCAACUUUGCUAAGACUACCCUAGCCACCCUACACACCGACGAAACCACGUCUACUAACAUCGCCCUGGCCAUGGGAUGCUCUUGCGCCUCCUUCCCGCAAGCCUAUCUAGGACUCCCCCUCGCCCCCACCAGACACCUCACUAAUAUCUUCAAUCCUCUGCUAGAACGAGCUAGGAAACUACUUAUGGCUGGCGUGCCAAGCUUCUCGAUAAAGGUGAUCGGCUCAUCCUCAUCUCUUUUGUCCUGGACUCAAUCCUUGUUUAUUUCAUGUCUGUGUUCCGUAUCCCAAAGAAAACAAUCAAAACUCUGGACUCGCUGA